UAAGUAGGUAGUGAAAUGACGGGGCUCAACCCCGUGUCCAUUACCUAAACUGCUAAGCUAGAGUAUGAGAGAGGUAACUGGAAUUUCUAGUGUAGGAGUGAAAUCCGUAGAUAUUAGAAGGAACACCGAUGGCGUAGGCAGGUUACUGGCUCAUUACUGACGCUCAGGCACGAAAGCGUGGGGAGCGACCGGGAUUAGAUACCCCGUUAGUCCACGCCGUAAACGAUGGAUGCUA
rnacentral:rRNA from 1 species